rnacentral:rRNA from 1 species
AAUCAACGCUGGCGGCGUGCUUAACACAUGCAAGUCGAGCGGUAAGGCCCUUUCGGGGGUACACGAGCGGCGAACGGGUGAGUAACACGUGGGUGACCUGCCCUCAGCUCUGGGAUAAGCCUGGGAAACCGGGUCUAAUACCGGAUAUGACUCCAUGACGCAUGUUGUGGGGUGGAAAGCCUUGUGCGGCUGAGGAUGGGCCCGCGGCCUAUCAGCUUGUUGGUGGGGUGAUGGCCUACCAAGGCGA